AAAAAAGAAAUUCAUCGUUGUGGGUGAAAUGGAAAAAUAAAAAGGAAAAGUAAAAUAACUUUUUCCGUCGUUGUUUCCAAAUUCCAAUACUAGCGUGAUAACCUUUGAAGCCCCUCCUGUUUCCUUUCACCUUCAACCUAAAACCCUCAUUGAACACUCGCCUCCAGUUUUGAAGAAUCAUAUCGACAUGUUGAAAUAUUUAUGCAAGUAGAUCGCAAGGGAUAUAGGGGUUAAUUUAGCCUUUUGGUUCAAUAUAUUGUUGAAGUUGGGUUCUCAAUCGCAAUUAUCUGGUAAGUUAAUUCCCUAAUUCAUGAAAAUCAACCGCGCCAAAUCAAGGAAAUCAAAACAAAAAUCCUCUAUUAAUUCGCACUUUAUUUUUUAUCCUCCUCUUUGCUAUACCCAUCUUAAUUUUUUCCUGUAUUCCAAAGAUGUUAUUGAAGAUGAAUAGAACUCGCUAAUUUUUUCUUUCCAUUUUUCGUUAAUCUGAGUUUAUUGUGGUUUCUUAAGAUUUUUGUUAAUUGCAAGUUUCUAGGGUUAUCUUUCCUUGUCAUAUUACUAUUUUAGCUAUGAAAGUUCAUUUAGUUUCAUUAACUAUUGUUAUAUUCUUCUUGGGAUUUUGAUUAAUUAUUAUCUUAGCUGUGAAAGUUGAUAUGCGGAGGUUGGCCUAAUUUGUUGUAAAUUUUAUAGAUUCAUCUAUAUUUUGGAUAGCGAUGAGGUUGUAUGAAAGAGUAUGGAUGUUGAAGUGGGGAAUUUUAGUUGAGAAAGUUGAAGAGUAUUGUCUAAUUUCCAGUAAUAUUUUGCUAAUAUGAUUCAAAUGGAAAUUCAAAAUAAUGAAGCGAAAAGGAAGAAGAAUGAUGUUGAAUCGGCUUGGAAUACCCCUAUAGAUUGUGAACACCUUGCUGAUUUUGUCCCUAAUCUUGUUUGCAGGCUUAGGGAGAGGAGUGAGUACUAUUCAACAAGUGGAUGAACCCAUCAGCGUAAUGUAGUGAAUGUAAUGUAGACCCUUUUAUGAUUCACAACAUCAGGUAAAACUUCAAGGAAUAAAAGGCAUGUAUCAUGCAGACUUGUGCACCAGUUAUUGUAAGAGGUAGUCGAGGUCCAAGUUCUCAUUUGGUGAGUAUUGGAAACAUAGUUGACCAUUUUGAAGUUAGAUAUUUUGGUCUUGCAAUAUUUUAAUCAUGGGGAUUUUUGUGCAAUCAUCGUGGCUGGUGUACACUGGGCAACCAGCUUAUAAAGGAACUUCAAUCUUGUGAUCGGGUUGUGUGUUUUGGAGGAGGAGUAAGAGUUGAUGCUUAUUUAUUUGGGUUGUUUAUGGUUUUUCUAAUGUAAACUUCAAUUCCAAUUUAACCAAUUCAUUAGUUGGGUAAAUCAAUUUUUGCUACAAAUUAUGAAGCUAUGCCCAUUUGUGCUAGUUAUAACGAGAUUAUGUCCAUUUAUCUGAAACAGAACGUUGAUUAACGAAUUUCUUGGUUCCUAUAUGUUUCUUUCACUCCGUACUUGUAACUUUUAAUGUUCUUGUAGUCUAUAUUUUCGAUGACUUUGACACAGGGUUUAUUUCAUACGAUACUGAGGCCCAUAGAUGAUGGUUCUAGUACACAAGUGAAAAUUUCAGGAAGUCUUCCAAGUGGAGGAGACAAUGUAGGUACUCCAGUCUCUCAAGAAUAUUUGGAAAAUGAUGUUUGUGGAGGCUCAUAAUUGCAAUAGCAGGGUCCAACAAAAAAAUAUAAAGCAAGAUAACAGUAGAUUGAGGCACAGUUCACUGACCUGCAAUGCAAAAAAGGAGACACCGGUCAGAACAAAAACAAGCAGCAGAAGGACGGGAUCUGAAAAAUAUGAAUAGCCUAGGCUAUCAUACAAGAUUUGAAGAUUUAUGGUCAGUGCUCACUUCAUGUACUCGAUACAGGAGGAAAUUCAGAAAAUAAUGGCAGAAGAACCAAUUGCGUGGAUACAGUACAAGAAGAAAACAAUGCGCUUAAGAGCCACAUGAGUUCAGUUGAAGAUGAACUUAAAUCGUUUAAAGAGGUGUUACUACAACGCUACAACGGCUUAAGGCUCCAAGAGAAGACACUUCAACUAAUUAGAUUUUAUUUUGUUCUAUUAGAUUAAACAUCAGUUAUUUAUUUCUUAGUUUUUUAGAAUUUAAAGACAACGAGAUGUGAUUGCUGUGUUCACAUAACUUGAAGUUGUAUUGUCAAAUGUUUUUUGAGUAAUGAAAUUCUCAUUGUUUAAUUGAUUGA